rnacentral:rRNA from 1 species
ACGCUGGCGGCGUGCUUAACACAUGCAAGUCGAGUGCGCGUACCGUAACAAUACGGUAUGGCGCACGGCGCACGGGUGCGUAACACGUGGGUAAUCUGCCCUUCGAUGGGGAAUAACUCCGGGAAACCGAAGCUAAUUCCGCAUAACAUUCCUUGAACCUCGGUUUGGGGACUCAAAGCCGUAAGGCGUCGGAGGAGGAACCCGCGCACGAUUAGUUAGUUGGCAGGGUAACGGCCUACCAAGACUUUGAUCGUUAGCUGGUCUGAGAGGAUGGCCAGCCACACUGGAACUGAGACACGGUCCAGACUCCUACGGGAGGCAGCAGUGGGGAAUCUUGCACAAUGGGCGAAAGCCUGAUGCAGCGACGCCGCGUGGGGGAUGAAGCUUUUCGGAGUGUAAACCCCUUUCGACCCGGACGAAUGCCCCGCAAGGGGAUUGACGGUACGGGUAUAAGAAGCCCCGGCUAACUACGUGCCAGCAGCCGCGGUAAGACGUGGGGGGCCAGCGUUGCUCGGAAUUACUGGGUGUAAAGGGUUCGUAGGCGGUGUGGCAAGUCGGGAGUGAAAUCUCUGGGCUUAACUCAGAGACUGCUUCCGAAACUGCUGUGCU